rnacentral:rRNA from 1 species
GUAGGGGGCGAGCGUUGUCCGGAAUUAUUGGGCGUAAAGGGCGCGUAGACGGCUGAGUAAGUUACUGGUGAAAGCCCAGCUUUUAAGGCUGGAAUUGCCGGUAAUACUGUUCAGCUUGAGUGCAGGAGAGGGAAGCGGAAUUCCUAGUGUAGCGGUGAAAUGCGUAGAUAUUAGGAGGAACACCAGUGGCGAAGGCGGCUUUCUGGACUGUAACUGACGUUGAGGCGCGAAAGCGUGGGGAGCAAAUAGGAUUAGAUACCCUGGUAGUCCACGCCGUAAACGAUGGAUGCUAGGUGUGGGAGGUAUCGACCCCUUCCGUGCCGCAGUUAACGCAAUAAGCA